CUGCUUUUGCAGCCCAUGCACUAAAACUGGAUGACAGAAGAUUACCAAGGCCGCUGUGCAAGGGUGGCGGGCAAAUGGUGAAGUGUUCCAUAAUUUC
rnacentral:snRNA from 1 species